CUGGGUAUCUUUUAGAAAUCUACAAAUUGUACUACAAUCAAAGCAUUGUCACAGGGGGAAAAACAUAUGCUAUGACUCUGGUUUUGAGAUUAUUAAAGAGAAAACAGUACCUCAUUAGGAAAAUGAACUGGAGAAGAAAAUAGCCAAACACCAUAGCAUCUUUGCCAAGAAAACCUUAAAUGGGAUCACAAAGAAUUGAAUGCCACUGAAAUGACUCAACAACAACACAAAGAUAUGCUUUACAGACAUCGCAUUUAAUGUCUUCACCAACUUUGUGAGGUAGGUAGGUGUGGUUAUUAUCCCCAUUGUAAACUUCAAAAAUUAAUAUUCAAUACC
rnacentral:lncRNA from 1 species